rnacentral:rRNA from 1 species
CCCUUAAAAAAACCCGCAGUUAAGGGGGUUUGGGGGAAGAGAGUAUUAGAGGGGGGGCCCCCCGGGGAAGUCCUGGGGUUGCCCCC